UGGGGAAUCUUCCGCAAUGGACGAAAGUCUGACGGAGCAACGCCGCGUGAGUGAAGAAGGUUUUCGGAUCGUAAAACUCUGUCUUUUGGGGCGAACGUGAGUAUGGUGAACAAUCAUAGUCAGUGACGGUACCAAAGGAGGAAGCCACGGCUAACUACGUGCCAGCAGCCGCGGUAAUACGUAGGUGGCAAGCGUUGUCCGGAAUUAUUGGGCGUAAAGAGCGCGUAGGCGGGAUAGUCAGUCUGUUGUAAAGUGCGGGGCUCAACCCCGUGAUGGCAAUGGAAACAGCUAUUCUUGAGUGCAGGAGAGGAAAGUGGAAUUCCCAGUGUAGCGGUGAAAUGCGUAGAUAUUGGGAGGAACACCAGUGGCGAAGGCGACUUUCUGGACUGUGUCUGACGCUGAGGCGCGAAAGCCAGGGGAGCGAACGGGAUUAGAUACCCCGGUAGUCCUGGCCGUAAACGAUGGGUACUAGGUGUGGGGGGUAUCGACCCCUUCCGUGUCGGAGUUAACGCAAUAAGUACCCCGCCUGGGGAGUACGGUCGCAAGACUGAAACUCAAAUGAAUUGACGGGGGUCAUAGCUGUUUCCUG
rnacentral:rRNA from 1 species